rnacentral:lncRNA from 1 species
AGCAGGGCAGGGUGGGGGGAUGGUAAUAUUUUUCCUGCUUUCAUCUGGAAGCAGGAAUCAGCACAGCCCAGGAAAUGAGGCUCUCAGCUGAACACACACACUCUGAACUCCCCACCUAUGGUGUGAUGCUGAAUUAGUCAUGAGAUCUCGGCAACAGGAAGGCUGGCUUGUCCGUGUACAGACAGAGGAUGUAUACUGAGUCAAGGACCAGAGCUUUGCUCAUGAUCUCUCUCAUAUCUCCAUCUCUAAAUCUGAUCCUGUUGAACUUCAGUCCAACAUCACCAAUUGUGGGAUGAACAUCUCAAUGACUUCAAUCAACCACAGGGGAAGACAGUUGGGUUCCAUUUUGCCUUCCGAGAACCUGCUGGCAGGCACUAUAGAAUACAUGCUGGUCAAACGGAGCCCAGGCCACCAGCCUAGAUGGUGAGAAGUCUCCUAAUCUGGUGAGAAAAAUCGUAUUCACCAACAGCAAUAAAUAAGAGCCUUUUGCCUGGUAGGACUCCAUCUGUACUACUCUGCUCUCUUCUGGGUACCACAUUUUAUCAAGGGGUAUUUUUUUUUAAAUCUGGAAUGUAUCUUUAGGAUAGAAACCAGAGGGUCCUCGUGAUGAAAGGGAAGGGGGAAAGAUGGGGAAGAGAAAGAUGGGGAGGGAGGCAGAGAAGGAACAGGAGGGGGGAAAGGGAAGAAAUAAAGUGAAGUAAGGGAGAGAAAUGCAGAUGAACGGGGAGAGAGUGAGAGAUAGGAGAGAUCUUCAAAUAUAAGCUUGUCAAUCAUAAAAUAAGCAUUUGUUAAGCAUUUCUUAUUUAUAUCAACUAGCCCGCCCUGGAUUUAGAGAAAUAAAGUCAAAAACAACAACAACAACAACAACAAGCACUACUCAUAAGAAGCUUAUGUUCUAAGAAGCAUUUGUUAAUCACUUACUUAUUGUAUGCUUCAGGAUAUAAAUACAAUAAUUGAAAACAAUCUCAAG